rnacentral:rRNA from 1 species
GAAUUCACUAGUGAUUCAGGCCUAACACAUGCAAGUCGAGCGGGGUUUUCGGACCUAACAAAAGACGGGUGAGUAAUGCGUAGGAAGCUGCCCGAUAGAGGGGGAUACCAGUUGGAAACGACUGUUAAUACCGCAUAAUGUCUACGGACCAAAGUGUGGGACCUUCGGGCCACAUGCUAUCGGAUGCGCCUACGUGGGAUUAGCUAGUUGGUGAGGUAAUGGCUCACCAAGGCGACGAUCUCUAGCUGGUUUGAGAGGAUGAUCAGCCACACUGGAAUUGAGGCACGGUCCAGACUCCUACGGGAGGCAGCAGUGGGGAAUAUUGGACAAUGGG